GUAGGGAAUUUUGCGCAAUGGGCGAAAGCCUGACGCAGCAACACCGCGUGAGCGAUGAAGCCCCUUGGGGUGUAAAGCUCUGUCAGUAGGGAAGAAUAAAUGACUGUACCUACAGAGGAAGCAUCGGCUAACUACGUGCCAGCAGCUGCGGUAAGACGUAGGAUGCAAGCGUUGUCCGGAAUUAUUGGGCGUAAAGAGUUCGUAGGCGGUAUGUCAAGUCUGGUGUUAAAGACUGAGGCUCAACCUCAGGAGGGCAUUGGAUACUGGCAAACUAGAGUGCAGAAGAGGCAAGGGGAAUUCCCAGUGUAGCGGUGAAAUGCGUAGAUAUUGGGAGGAACACCAGUGGCGUAAGCGCCUUGCUGGGCUGUUACUGACGCUGAGGAACGAAAGCCAGGGGAGCAAAUGGGAUUAGAAACCCGAGUAGUCC
rnacentral:rRNA from 1 species